CCAGUACUGCAAGGCAAUCUCUUUCUCCUGGACGAGUACUUUAAAAUCUAUUUAGGUAAAAAAAUAUCGCACUUUUCUAGGUGCCCUGCCUGGGUAUCAUUUAGUGGUGAACAUAAAGCAUUAGCAAGCAAGCAAGGCUGUUUUUCAGGGCUACUGAAAUAUAUCCAUUACCAUUGUCUGAAUUAGCAGCUUCAGGGCAAGGUCCCAUCCAUGCUCUGAAAGUACCAGAAAAGCAACGGCGCUGAACUGAUCUGAGCACCAGCAGCACUUGGCAUUCUCCCCAGAGCUGUCUGAGCAAACAAGGCAAAGGGGAAAAAGCCUGUCCCUCCCUCUCUCCACCUGCCCAGUGACUCAGAACAACUAGAAAUGGCAGCUUAACUCUCAGAACGCAGACCGAUAUAUCCAGCAGUCAGCGUGAGGGCAUCGGGAGUGCCAAGAAAAUUACAAGGACCCAUUCAAAUAGUCACCACAGCCUCAGCCACUGGAAAUGCUGGCAGUAUAUACCCUAGAACUGCAUUUGUGUUUUGAGCUCAUAACUUUUUAAGUAUUCCUUGAGUUUCACUUGCAACAUGUAGGCAUUGUUCCCACCUCAAAGAAUGACAUCAAGUUCGUGAUUAAAGCAAAAACAGAAUCCAACCUCUGAAUUCAAACUGCAUAUUCUAACCACAACACCAUGCUCUCAAGCAACUAUAUGUUGAAGCUAUACUUACAUUUUUCGCAAAGUCUUCCAAUUGCUGUCAAAAAAAAAAAGAAAAAGAAGAAAAAAUUAUUUGAGGCAGAGGCAGGAGAAAAAUCCAAGUAACUCCAAAGCUUGAAUGUGAAAUAAUUAUCUUCUGCAGUGAU